UUUCCGUAGGUGAACCUGCGGAAGGAUCAUUAUUGUAUAACCGAGGUGCGAGGGCUGUCGCUGACCCGAAAGGUCGUGCACGCCCGAGUGCCCUCACACACAUCCAUCUCACCCCUAUGUGCACCACCGCGUGGGUCCCCCUUUGGCUUGUUCGGAGGGGGGCUUACGUUUUACACAAACUUUGUAUGCAGUGUAGAAUGUAUUUUUUGUUUUUGCGAUCACGCAAUCAAUACAACUUUCAACAACGGAUCUCUUGGCUCUCGCAUGAUGAAGAACGCAGC
rnacentral:misc_RNA from 1 species